CCCAGACUCCUACGGGAGGCAGCAGUGGGGAAUAUUGGACAAUGGGGGAAACCCUGAUCCAGCGACGCCGCGUGAGUGAAGAAGUAUUUCGGUACGUAAAGCUCUAUCAGCAGGAAAGAAAAUGACGGUACCUGACUAAGAAGCCCCGGCUAACUACGUGCCAGCAGCCGCGGUAAUACGUAGGGGGCGAGCGUUAUCCGGAUUUACUGGGUGUAAAGGGAGCGUAGACGGCUGGUCAAGUCUGAAGUGAAAGCCCGGGGCUUAACCCCGGAACUGCUUUGGAAACUGUGCAGCUAGAGUGCAGGAGAGGUAAGUGGAAUUCCUAGUGUAGCGGUGAAAUGCGUAGAUAUUAGGAGGAACACCAGUGGCGAAGGCGGCUUACUGGACUGUAACUGACGUUGAGGCUCGAAAGCGUGGGGAGCAAACAGGAUUAGAUACCCGUGUACU
rnacentral:rRNA from 1 species